rnacentral:rRNA from 1 species
AUACGGAGGAUCCGAGCGUUAUCCGGAUUUAUUGGGUUUAAAGGGUGCGUAGGUGGUUUGAUAAGUCAGCGGUGAAAGUUUGCAGCUUAACUGUAAAAAUGCCGUUGAAACUGUCGGACUUGAGUGUAAAUGAGGUAGGCGGAAUGCGUGGUGUAGCGGUGAAAUGCAUAGAUAUCACGCAGAACUCCGAUUGCGAAGGCAGCUUACUAAGCUACAACUGACAUUGAUGCUCGAAAGUGUGGUAUCAAACAGGAUUAGAUACCCUGGUAGUCCACGCAGUAAACGAUGAUUACUAGCUGUUUGCGAUACACAGUAAGCGGCACAGCGAAAGCGUUAAGUAAUCCACCGUGGGGAGUACGCCGGCAACGGUGAAACUCAAAGGAAUUGACGGGGCCCGCACAAGCGGAGGAACAUGU